rnacentral:lncRNA from 1 species
AGUGGCUCACGCCUGUAAUCCCAGCACUUUGGGAGGCCUAGGUGGGCAGAUCACAAGGUCAGGAGUUGGAGACCAGCGUGGCCAACAUGGUGAAACCCUGUCUCUACUAAAAAUACAAAAAUUAGCCGGACAUGGUGGCGUGUGCCUGUAAUCCCAGCUACUUGCGAGGCUGAGGCAGGAGAAUUGCUUGAACCCAGGAGGCGGAGGUUGCAGUGAGCCAAGAUCUCCCCAUUGCACCCCAGCCU